rfam:Ornithorhynchus anatinus chromosome 12, whole genome shotgun sequence.
CCCCUCUCAGGAUUGCACUGGAGAGUUUCCAGGACUCUAUUAGUAUCGGCUGUGGGAGGGAGAGACAAACAGAGGCCUACCCAUUCCAUUCCUAGCUUGGGUAGUGGCUAGCAAGUGGAAGACAAUCUGCUACAAGU